rnacentral:rRNA from 1 species
CAAGUCGAGGGGCAGCAGGUUUGUAGCAAUACAGAUGCUGGCGACCGGCAAACGGGUGCGGAACACGUACGCAACCUUCCUCUAACUGGGAGAUAGCCCACCGAAAGGUGGAUUAAUACCCCAUAAUAUAUCUGAGUGGCAUCACUUGGAUAUUAAAGCUCCGGCGGUUAGAGAUGGGCGUGCGCCUGAUUAGGUAGUUGGCGGGGUAACGGCCCACCAAGCCUACGAUCAGUAGCUGAUGUGAGAGCAUGAUCAGCCACACGGGCACUGAGACACGGGCCCGACUCCUACGGGAGGCAGCAGUAAGGAAUAUUGGUCAAUGGACGCAAGUCUGAACCAGCCAUGCCGCGUGGAGGAUGAAGGUCCUCUGGAUUGUAAACUUCUUUUCUCUGGGACGAAACCCCCGAUAUCCAUCGGGCCUGACGGUACCAGAGGAAUAAGCACCGGCUAACUCCGUGCCAGCAGCCGCGGUAAUACGGAGGGUGCAAGCGUUAUCCGGAUUUACUGGGUUUAAAGGGAGCGUAGGCGGGCAGUUAAGUCAGUGGUGAAAUCUCUGGGCUUAACCCGGAAACUGCCAUUGAUACUAUCUGUCUUGAAUAUUCUGGAGGUAAGCGGAAUAUGUCAUGUAGCGGUGAAAUGCUUAGAUAUGACAUAGAACACCCAUUGCGAAGGCAGCUUACUACGGGAUGAUUGACGCUGAGGCUCGAAAGCGUGGGGAUCAAACAGGAUUAGAUACCCUGGUAGUCCACGCCCUAAACGAUGAUUACUCGACAUUAGCGAUAUUACUGUUAGUGUCUAAGCGAAAGCAUUAAGUAAUCCACCUGGGAAGUACGACCGCAAGGUUGAAACUCAAAGGAAUUGGCGG